rnacentral:lncRNA from 1 species
ACUACCAAAAUACAAAUAUAAGCUACAGCAGUCUUCCUCUUAAAUCAUUCACAAGGCAAAAGGCAUUAAAAAGGAGAUUCAGACAUGAGAGGUCCUGCAACCUUGAGGUAAAACAUUCGUGACACAGUUGGCGGGCAAUCCACCCAGAGCAUCGAAGCAGGUGGUGUUUUUGAAGAUAGGUUAACAAACUCCAGGGCCUGUGCUCUAACUUCAGCUGUGUAGUCAGCAAUACUUCCAAUUUCCUUUUGUUGGUUUCGUUUUGCUCAACGUCUUCCUUCUCUUCAUGGGGAGUUUGCGAUGUAGGAGGAUCCAAGUUCUUUUGACUCACCACUCCCACUCAGCUUACUCGCCCGCGCCGGAAUAUUCAAAAGCUUGGUUUACCUGCAAAGACGAAAGAGAUGUCAAGAACAUGACAUCAGAAAAAACUAUUAAAUUCG